ACACUUCACUCAAAUGGCUGGCUGCAGCUGGUGCUAGUUAUGGUCUGGGAUCUCAGAUGAGGCUGCUAAGCCGAAUGUGUUGUUACUCCUUUACAUCGUCUCUCCACAUGGCUUGAACUUCUCACAGCAUGCCUGCUGGAUUCGAAGAGAUGGCAUUCAAGUGCUUAAAAAUCAAGAAGACCCUCACCAGGUGCCAGCGUCUAGACAUUGGAUUUUCCAGCCUCCAGAACU
ensembl:lncRNA novel transcript